rnacentral:rRNA from 1 species
UAGGGAAUCUUCGGCAAUGGACGAAAGUCUGACCGAGCAACGCCGCGUGAGUGAAGAAGGUUUUCGGAUCGUAAAACUCUGUUGUUAGAGAAGAACAAGGACGUUAGUAACUGAACGUCCCCUGACGGUAUCUAACCAGAAAGCCACGGCUAACUACGUGCCAGCAGCCGCGGUAAUACGUAGGUGGCAAGCGUUGUCCGGAUUUAUUGGGCGUAAAGCGAGCGCAGGCGGUUUCUUAAGUCUGAUGUGAAAUCCCCGGGCUCAACCUGGGAACUGCAUCUGAUACUGGCAAGCUUGAGUCUCGUAGAGGGGGGUAGAAUUCCAGGUGUAGCGGUGAAAUGCGUAGAGAUCUGGAGGAAUACCGGUGGCGAAGGCGGCCCCCUGGACAAAGACUGACGCUCAGGUGCGAAAGCGUGGGGAGCAAACAGG